GACGAACGCUGGCGGCGUGCUUAACACAUGCAAGUCGAACGGAAAGGCCUUUUCGGCGGUACUCGAGUGGCGAACGGGUGAGUAACACGUGGGUGAUCUGCCCUGCACUCUGGGAUAAGCCUUGGAAACUGGGUCUAAUACCGGAUAGGACCGCACUUUAGUGUGUGUGGUGGAAAGUUUUUUCGGUGUAGGAUGAGCCCGCGGCCUAUCAGCUUGUUGGUGGGGUAAUGGCCUACCAAGGCGGCGACGGGUAGCCGGACUGAGAGGUUGGUCGGCCACAUUGGGACUGAGAUACGGCCCAGACUCCUACGGGAGGCAGCAGUGGGGAAUAUUGCACAAUGGGCGCAAGCCUGAUGCAGCGACGCCGCGUGGGGGAUGACGGCCUUCGGGUUGUAAACUCCUUUCGCCAGGGACGAAGCGUUUUGUGACGGUACCUGGAGAAGAAGCACCGGCUAACUACGUG
rnacentral:rRNA from 1 species